rnacentral:rRNA from 1 species
UACAGAGGUCUCAAGCGUUGUUCGGAUUCCUUGGGCGUAAAGGGUGCGUAGGUGGCGCGGUAAGUCGGGUGUGAAAUCUCGGGGCUUAACUCCGAAACUGCAUUCGAUACUGCCGUGCUUGAGGACUGGAGAGGAGACUGGAAUUUACGGUGUAGCAGUGAAAUGCGUAGAUAUCAGGAGGAACACCCGUGGCGAAAGCGGCUCUCUGGGACGGUACUGACGCUGAGACGCGAAAGCGUGGGGAGCAAACAGG